rnacentral:rRNA from 1 species
AUUGAACGCUGGCGGCAUGCCUUACACAUGCAAGUCGAACGGCAGCACGGGUGCUUGCACCUGGUGGCGAGUGGCGAACGGGUGAGCAAUACAUCGGAACAUGUCCUGUAGUGGGGGAUAGCCCGGCGAAAGCCGGAUUAAUACCGCAUACGAUCUACGGAUGAAAGCGGGGGACCUUCGGGCCUCGCGCUAUAGGGUUGGCCGAUGGCUGAUUAGCUAGUUGGUGGGGUAAAGGCCUACCAAGGCGACGAUCAGUAGCUGGUCUGAGAGGACGACCAGCCACACUGGGACUGAGACACGGCCCAGACUCCUACGGGAGGCAGCAGUGGGGAAUUUUGGACAAUGGGCGAAAGCCUGAUCCAGCAAUGCCGCGUGUGUGAAGAAGGCCUUCGGGUUGUAAAGCACUUUUGUCCGGAAAGAAAUCCUUGGCCCUAAUACGGUCGGGGGAUGACGGUACCGGAAGAAUAAGCACCGGCUAACUACGUG